rnacentral:rRNA from 1 species
AACGAACGCUGGCGGCAGGCUUAACACAUGCAAGUCGAACGCCCCGCAAGGGGAGUGGCAGACGGGUGAGUAACGCGUGGGAACAUACCCUUUCCUGCGGAAUAGCUCCGGGAAACUGGAAUUAAUACCGCAUACGCCCUACGGGGGAAAGAUUUAUCGGGGAAGGAUUGGCCCGCGUUGGAUUAGCUAGUUGGUGGGGUAAAGGCCUACCAAGGCGACGAUCCAUAGCUGGUCUGAGAGGAUGAUCAGCCACAUUGGGACUGAGACACGGCCCAAACUCCUACGGGAGGCAGCAGUGGGGAAUAUUGGACAAUGGGCGCAAGCCUGAUCCAGCCAUGCCGCGUGAGUGAUGAAGGCCUUAGGGUUGUAAAGCUCUUUCACCGGAGAAGAUAAUGACGGUAUCCGGAGAAGAAGCCCCGGCUAACUUCGUGCCAGCCGCCGCGGUAACAC